GGGGCCCUGAGAACCAAGAUAAAGACGACCAGGCAGUCUCCAAUGAAACCGGGAGCAGGGCCAGCUUCCUGGGACCACAUUGCUGAGCAAAGAGAAACUGAUGAAAAUCCAGCCACUUUGACCUCUGCAGUUUGGGUCUGGGAAAGACUUGGUCCAAUCAGUUUGACCAUGAGAAUGGAGAGUUCCAAUUUGUUGGUGAAUGGAGAGAAUGUGGAGCAGCAUCCUUCAAUCCUGAGUGUCCAGGAGGGAGACAGCUCUGUUAUCAAGUGUACUUAUUCAGACAGUGCCUCAAACUACUUCCCUUGGUAUAAGCAAGAACUUGGAAAAGAACCUCAGUUCAUUAUAGACAUUCGUUCAAAUGCACAUGAAAAGAAAGACCAAAGAAUUACUGUUUUAUUGAACAAGACAGCCAAACAUUUCUCUCUGCACAUCACAGAGACCCAACCUGGAGACUCAGCUGUCUACUUCUGCGCAGCGAGUACACAUUGCUUCCCAGGCACCUGCUACCCGUACACAAACCUGAGACUGGAGCUGAAGCUACAACUCCUUUCUUUUGUCAUAGACCUUCAAGUAUAG